GGAGGGCUGUAGCUCAGUGCUAGAGCAUCUGCUUUGCAUACCGAAGGUCUCAGGUUCAAUCCCCGGUAUUUCCA